rnacentral:rRNA from 1 species
GGGUGGUAAAUUUCAUCUAAAGCUAAAUAUUGGCCGGAGACCGAUAGCGCACAAGUAGAGUGAUCGAAAGGUUAAAAGCACCUUGAAAAGGGAGUUAAACAGCACGUGAAAUUGUUGAAAGGGAAGCGCUUGCGGUCAGACUCGAGCGCGGGGUUCAUCAGGUGCGAGUCAUCUGUGCACUCCCCGCUGCUCGGGCCAGCAUCAGUUCUGACGGCCGGUCAAAGGCCCCCGGAAUGUGUCGUCUCUCGGGACGUCUUAUAGCCGGGGGUGCAAUGCGGCCUGUUGGGACUGAGGAACGCGCUUCGGCUCGGAUGCUGGCAUAAUGGCCGUAAGCGGCCCGUCUUGAAACACGGAC